UUACUAAGGGCACUCUAGUCAUUUGGGGGGUUUUAAUUGUAUGUGAGUGAUAUAUGCUAUAUAUAUUUUUCAAAGUUACUCAAAACAACUAAAAUAUGGUGCGUUCUGUCGCUGCUCUAUACUCCAGUCCGGUUAGUGGCGCUAUUGCUCAUCUAAUGUUAGUGUUACCCAUAAAACCCAACGGUGAAGAAGAAAAACCAAGCGCGGUUGUUUCCUGCCACUCGCAUGUACAGAAAUUAGAGAUGGAUUCUUCAAACAGUGACAAACAAAAUAAUAAUCAAUCUGUUAACGAAGACCCAGCUGGUGUGGACAACGAAUUUUGUCCCGGUUUCAAGGAUGUGGAUGCAUUUGUGAAGUAUGGACUGGGCACUGUCGUAGCAGCUACUAAGGCAUCUGCCAGUCUACCGCAAGUAGGGGAUGAAUAUGACUUAUAUCGCAGCUUCCCGGGAUUUCAAGAAUUCUGUGAAACUCAAGGAGAUGGACUGUUGCAUUGUAUGAGUCAGAUAAUGCACCACCAUGGCUGCAGAGCUCACAUGAGAGACCGCAACAAACUGACGGGGUUGGAGGAAAGAUUUGACUUGGUGGUUGAUUCCAAUGAUGUCAUUCUUGAGAAAGUGGGUAUUCUGCUUGAUGAUGCUGCCGGAGUCAACAGAAGCCAGCAACCUGUCAUGCCCGCAGGUUUUCAGCCCCCUAAGAUCGUCGUAUCCAGUUGGAAUCGUAAGGGGGGUGACUCUGGUUCUGGACGUAGUUCAGAGACAUUCCGACUCCUCCAAGCCAAAAACGUCACCAGACCUCAGUUGAAAUUCCGUGAAAAAGUUGACAAUAGCAACACACCGUUUACUCCAAAGAUCUUCGUCAAGCCCAAUGCAAUAAAACCACUUCCUUCAUAUUUUACCAACAAACACAUUCGCAAAGAGAGACCAGAGGAUUUGGAUGUCCCUGCCGCCCUGGCUGAUUUCAUUCACCAGCAGAGAACUCAGGAGCAUGUAGAAGACAUGUUCGCUCACCCAUACCAAUACGAACUGGAUCACCUUGCGUUACCCGAGAAUCUUCUGUCCAAGCCUGAACCCCAGAUGUACAAACCACUUGCUGAGACAAAGUGCUCAUUCAUUGACACUCUGGAGGAUCUGGUGGCAGUAAAUGAGAAACUGGCCAAGACGUCAGAGUUUGCAGUAGAUCUGGAGCACCACUCCUACAGAAGUUUUUUGGGCAUCACCUGCCUGAUGCAGAUUUCAACACGGGAUGAAGACUUCAUUAUAGACACCUUGGAGCUGCGUAGUGAGCUGUACAUACUCAAUGAGGCUUUCACAGAUCCCGCCAUCGUCAAGGUUUUCCAUGGUGCAGACUCUGAUAUUGAGUGGCUGCAAAAGGAUUUGGGCCUUUACAUUGUCAACAUGUUUGACACUCACCAGGCGUCACGUACCCUUAACCUGGGCAGGCACUCGCUUGACCACUUGCUUAAGCUGUUCUGCAACGUGGACUCUGACAAACGCUACCAACUGGCAGACUGGAGAAUACGGCCUUUGCCAGAUGAGAUGUUUCAGUAUGCCCGGGCAGAUACCCACUACCUCCUCUAUGUCUACGAUCGGCUGAGGGUGGACCUGUGGGAAGUGGGCAAUGGGCAGCCUGCCCUGCUGCAGAUGGUCUGGCACAAAAGCAAAGACAUCUCAUUGAAGAAAUACAUGAAGCCGCUCUUCACCGAGGACUCCUACAUGGACCUGCUGAGGAAGCAGAAGAAGGCGUUCAACACGCAGCAGCUAACUGCCUUCCGACUGCUGUACGGCUGGAGGGACAAGCUGGCCAGACAGGAGGAUGAGAGCACUGGAUAUGUCCUGCCCAAUCAUAUGAUGAUUAAGAUCUCUGACAUCCUGCCCAAAGAGCCUCAAGGCAUCAUCGCUUGCUGUAACCCUGUCCCACCAUUGGUGCGGCAGCAGGUCAACGAGCUCCACCUAUUGGUGCAGCAGGCCCGGGAGAUGCCCCUUCUCAAGGCUGAAAUUGUGGCUGACAAGAAGAAAACACUCACGCCCAUAAAAAAGCCAGAAAUUCCUCUUUUUGGUCCUCAUGAUACAUCCAGAGUCUCUGAAAGUGAUAUCCCCAGCUUUACCCCAGAUGAACUCUCAACCAAAAAGGGGGCACUCUUUUCUGAAGAGGAGCAGGGAGAGGAGGUUGACAUGCAUAAAAUGAUGGGUCUAGUAGUUUCAGCGAAAAUCACAUUGUUUGAGGAGGACACCGUCAAAGACCCUGGUCACCUCACAGUGGCUCAACAGAAAGCAUGCAGGGUUGUCGAGUCAUUUCAGAACCCUUUCCGAAUGUAUCUACCGUCAAACGACAUCCAUAUCUCCAAAAAUGCUAAGUUCGACCCCUCUACGAAAAUAUAUGAGAUCAGUAAUAGAUGGAAGCUGCAGAGUGUGGAACAGCAGCAGAAGGAGGUAGAGGCCAAAAAGAAAGCGAAGGAAGAGGCAAAGGCAGUAGCAGAGGAAAGGAAGAAGGCCAAGCAGAGCUACCAGGAAUCACUUCAAAAUGUUGCGACUGUGCGCCAGCAAGCUUCAGAAUCUAUAAAACCAGGAGGAAAGAAAAGGGAGAGGGUUGCCAGUGAGACAGGAGAGUCGACCCCAAAACCUAACAAGAAACUAAUGAAAGCUGCUGUGAAGAAAAACGAGGACUCUACAACACCUCUAGUUUUCAAACCGUAUGACUACAGCCAGUCAGAUUUCAAAGUCUUUGCUGGGGCCAAAGGAAAUGAUGGUAAACAGUUUGAUCCAGACAGACAAGGUCAUGAACCCAGGAAAAAGGUAUUGUUAACAUCAAGUUAUAAUUAUGACAUUUGCGAAAUUAACCCACUGUGUGUACAUUGUGCAUUCAAUGUCAUAUUGCUAAGUCUACCUUUAACGCUGGCAAGAUAUUUGUGGAAAAGUAACAGUUCUCAUGGCUAUUGUAAUAUCAAGUGAACAUUCCUUUUGGUUUCUGUAGAAAAAUGCAAAAGCACAAAAAUCGAAUGCCUGUGCUGGAAACCGAAGUAUGUCCUUUUUUGGUGGAAAAUCCGAAAGAGGAUUCCAUCGUAACUGGCCUAAAAGAUAGGUCUACCCAUCAAUGAACCUUCUCUUCUCAAAAAGGAAACCUGUUUUAAAAUUAGAUUUUUUUGUGUGUGGAUCUAGUUACCUGAUGUUAGUACAAUGUUGCACAAAAUAUUUUUUUCUUUAACAAAGUAUUUGCAGCCUGCUUAUUAAAAUAGUUUUUAAGGGAAUUUGUCUUAUUUUAUUUGUUGAUGGAAUCUUUACAAAAUGUGCUUGCAAAUAUUCAGACUAGACUUUCAGGUACAUUUUUAACCACACUUGUUGUUAUAGCUCAUACAGUUGUUGGCUGCCGCUCAUUAAAAGAGGAACUGGUCAAAACUA